rnacentral:lncRNA from 1 species
AAUCAACUUUACUCCGAGCUUCUUCCAGACUUCAUCGAUGUUCGGGCUUCUCCAGCAGCAAGACUUCUACAGUAACCAGACUCCAUCCAAGUUUCUACAGUGGUCGACCGUCUUUCGAAUUUCAUCCGAGCUUCUACAGGAAGCAAAUUCCGUCCGAACUUCUUUUGCAAGAGGACUUCAUCCGAGUUUCUACAGUAAGUGGACUUCGUUCGAGCUUCUACAAUAAGCAGUCUCCAUCCGAGCAUCCACGGCAAUCGGUCUUCUUCCGAGCUUCUACAGUAAGUGGCCUCCUACAAGAAUUGGACUCCGUUUGAUCUUCUACAAUAGAAUUGAAUUCCAGACGAACUUCUACAAUGGAUGGGCUCUAGCAGUCGGAUUUCUAUAGUGACCGACUGUCUUCGAUGUCUUCCGUACCUCUCCAGCCAUCAACCUUCAACAGCACCAACUGGACUUUAACAGUGCCAACCAGACCCCUCCAAUGGAUAAAUUCUCUCCAGACCCCUCCAGCAGUCGACCUUCCACAGUGUCCUCCAGACUCCUCCAGC